rnacentral:tRNA from 4 species
AGCAGGGUGGGGAAGCGGUAUCCCACUUGGUUCAUACCCAAGAGGUCGGCAGUUCGAAUCUGCCCCCUGCAACCA